rnacentral:rRNA from 1 species
GACGAACGCUGGCGGCGUGCCUAAUACAUGCAAGUCGAACGAACCGCGACUAAGUGCUUGCACUAAGUCAAGGUGAGUGGCGAACGGGUGAGUAACACGUGGGUAACCUACCUCAUAGUGGGGGAUAACAGUCGGAAACGACUGCUAAUACCGCAUAGGACAUAGGAUCACAUGAUCCAGUGAGGAAAGGUGGCGCAAGCUAUCGCUAAGAGAUGGACCCGCGGUGCAUUAGCUAGUUGGUAGGGUAAAGGCCUACCAAGGCGAUGAUGCAUAGCUGACCUGAGAGGGUGAUCGGCCACAUUGGGACUGAGACACGGCCCAAACUCCUACGGGAGGCAGCAGUAGGGAAUCUUCCGCAAUGGACGCAAGUCUGACGGAGCAACGCCGCGUGAGUGAAGAAGGUCUUCGGAUCGUAAAGCUCUGUUGUUAGAGAAGAACAGCGCAUAGAGUAACUGCUAUGCGUGUGACGGUAUCUAACCAGAAAGCCACGGCUAACUACGUG